rnacentral:rRNA from 1 species
GUCGAACGAACUUCCGUUAAUUGAUUAUGACGUACUUGUACUGAUUGAGAUUUUAACACGAAGUGAGUGGCGAACGGGUGAGUAACACGUGGGUAACCUGCCCAGAAGUAGGGGAUAACACCUGGAAACAGAUGCUAAUACCGUAUAACAGAGAAAACCGCAUGGUUUUCUUUUAAAAGAUGGCUCUGCUAUCACUUCUGGAUGGACCCGCGGCGUAUUAGCUAGUUGGUGAGGUAAAGGCUCACCAAGGCAGUGAUACGUAGCCGACCUGAGAGGGUAAUCGGCCACAUUGGGACUGAGACACGGCCCAGACUCCUACGGGAGGCAGCAGUAGGGAAUCUUCCACAAUGGACGCAAGUCUGAUGGAGCAACGCCGCGUGAGUGAAGAAGGGUUUCGGCUCGUAAAGCUCUGUUGUUAAAGAAGAACGUGGGUAAGAGUAACUGUUUACCCAGUGACGGUAUUUAACCAGAAAGCCACGGCUAACUACGUGCCAGCA